GCUCAUUGGCAUCUCCGAUUGAGCCAGCCAAGGACAAGCUCCUUGGAGGUCUACUGAGCCCUGCAUUCGAUGAACCCUCUUGCCUGAGCCGCUACCAGUCCGCACAGUUCUGGAAGUCAUCGAACCACACGCCAUCGCCGUUCCUCUUGCAGAAGCUGCGAAGCUACGAAGCCCUCCACAAAAGAUGUGGCCCGCACACCGAUCUCUAUAACAAGAGCAUCGAGCAGCUCAGAUCCAAUCGCAGCACAGGGCCUUUGGAGUGCAACUACGUGGUGUGGCUGCAAUCCGGUGGAUUAGGCAACAGAUUGAUGAGCCUGAUCUCCACAUUCCUCUACGCGAUCCUCAACAACAGGGUGUUGUUGCUCAGUGUUCCUGAUGACCUCCAUGAUAUGUUCUGCGAGCCAUUUCCUGGGACUUCGUGGGCUUUACCUUCGGAUUUCCCCAUCAAGAAGUUGGAGACCCACGACUUCUAUCGCGGAUCUCCUCAGAGUUACGGAAACCUGCUCAAGAACAAGGUGCUUAGCAAUGGCAUGAACACCACGCUUGCUUCGCUGCCGGCUUAUCUCUAUCUCCACCUGAUGCACGAUGCCGAUGACUCCGAUAAGAUGUUCUACUGUGAAGAUGCUCAGCCGCUGUUUCAAAGCUUCCCAUGGCUGUUCCUGCGAUCAAAC
rnacentral:lncRNA from 1 species